CCAGUUUGGGGAUGAGUGUCUGGGUGUGUCUGUGACUGGCAGGAAGCGGAGCAGAGCCUCCUCGGCCGCUGGGUUUGGGCUUCUGUGUCUGUGGGGUACAGACAGCAGCUGCAGGUUGCUGGGUCCCCGGGGCCCCAGAGGCUGUCCUGGUGGUGAUGGGGAUGGGUGGAGAGCUAGGAUGACAGUUAUUUCCUUAAGGGCACUUUUCUCAGUAAAUGGAAUUGUUGUAUGGAUGACUCUGGAACAAGAAUCAACUCCGCGAGGCUUUGUUCGGGCCUCUGGAUGCUGAAGCGAGACAUCUGAGGGUCUCCAAUAAUGAGGCUACUGAAGCUCUUCCAGUGGAGAAACAGCAAAAGAAAACACAGCAGGCCAGGCAAAGUGGCUCAUGCGUGUUAUCCCAGCACUUUGGGAGGCCAAGGCAGAUGGAUUUGACCCUAGGAGGCAGAGGUUGCAGUGAGCCAAGAUUGCACCACUGCACUCCAGCCUGUACGACAGAGCGAGACCCUAUAUCGAAAAAAAAAAAAAAAGAAAAAAGAAAAGAAAACACAGCAAAAUGUUCGUGGUUAACAGCACUAUGGCAUCUAGAACGAUGCCUAGAACACAGCAGGAGCUCAGCAAUUAUGUGCUGAAAGGCUACACGAUGGCAGAACGGGCUUCGCCUGCAGGGAGCUGGUACGGGACCAGACACCCAGCAUUUGGGAGGGUGGCCCAUCCCACUCCCACGGACCAAACCACCCAGAUUGCCCCAAGGAUAAAUAAACAAGACACAAGGGGACAUAGAAACCCAGGCUGAAAUGUGUGGCCUCCUUUCAGUUGAGUUCUGGGCAAUCAGCUCCUUUCCAGCCUGUGACAGGAGGUGGGUGGCUGCAGGGGGCAGCUCUGAAUCCUGACUCAUGUCAAGGGCCUGUGAGGUGAACAGUCUUGAUCCGUUCCUCCAAGGCAGACAGAGAGGAGCCAGCAAAACAAAUGCAGGAUGAGCAAGGCACAACUGGGUGUUCUCACCUGGCCCCACCUCUGCGGCUUCCACCACGCCUGGCUGGUAUGGCCACAAGACGUCCCCAACACCCAUGCCUGAGGACAGAGUACUGGCUCCAUGGUUAUUUGGACAAACACACCUUCAAAUUCCUGGUACCCCAUUGGAGAUGCCCCACAGCCCUGGCAUGUCUGAAAACCGAGCCCUUGACCUUCUCCCGCUCCAACCCUGCUGCUCCCUGGGUCUUCCACCUCUGUGAGUGGCACCUUCCUUCUCCCGGUUCUCCUGCCAGACAGCAUGAGUUCUCUCCCCUCCCAUACCCUCUUUCCCCAUAUCCUGGCUGCUCCUGCAGAUUCGACCUCCUAAAUACCUCCCAACUCUCUCCACGCCCAUGACCACCCUCCGGGUCCAAGUGUGCCUUCCUUGUCGCCUGAUUACUCCCUGCCACGACCUGGCCCUGUCCCCCAGCCUCGUCUCCAGCAGCAAUUCCUGGGCAUGGGCCCUUGCCGGGCCACCCUCGGUCCUUAUGCACACUGUUCUCCCUGCUUUGCUAGGCUACUUCCUGCUCAGCCCACAGGAGUCUGCCUUCUGGAAGACCACUGAAAUAUUCAAAAGUCAGUUGCGGACACAAUGACACGUCCCUUCUCAAUAUUUCAGCAGGUACCUUCCAAAAUCAAGGACAGUCUCCUGCAUGGCCAAAAGUCCAUUUCCAUACUCAGGAGUUUAGCUUUGAUGCAGGGAUAUUAUGUAACAUGCAAUCCAUGAUUAAAUUCUCCAAAAGACCCUGAAAGCAGCUGCUUCUUUUGCUUUAAUGCACGUUCCACUCAAGAAUCACACACUGGGGCCAGGCACUGUGG
rnacentral:tRNA from 10 species